UUUGUCUCAUCCUUCGUUUAAACAAACCACUAUAAACUUCCACAUCAAAACUGACUGAUAGUUAUUGCUUCAUUUCUCUUACUUCAUGGGUUGAUCAUGUUCUGUUUCAAUUUGAUAAAUACACUUUGCAAAAGCUAAUAGCUUUCAAUUUUUUUUGUUGUUAAGGUUUGGUAAGACAUUAAGCUAUGCAAAGCUGAGGAAAAUUGAUUUGGAAAUUCUUGUGAAUCUUGUUGGUGACAAGGAAAGAUAUUUAAAAUCUCGCAUGGUGCUAAAAUCUUGGGAUUUUAGAGAAUUUUCUUUUCUGUACACCCUUCAUUCAAAGUUGAAUAUCUCUAUCUCACCAUGACUCUAGAUUGAGUAAGAUUGAUGGUGUUGGAAUUUUAUCGUUCAUAUCUAGAUCGGGUUAUUCUUGACAUCGUUUGAGAGAUCUCUUGCAAGCUUAUCUCAAUUCAUGAUUUGGUGAAUGUAUUCUACAAUUUCUUUAAAUAAAGGUAUCUUCUAUCUACUAUAAUAUUCAAUUCUUAUUCUCAAACUUAAAUGCACAGGUUCUAAACUAUUUUUGAUCAACUAAUUGGAUUAAAGACAAUAUUCAUUUUAUAUAGUCAAUGUCACGACUCACUUCCCGUACCUAAGGGUUAAGUAUCGUAAUGGCCAGUAACUGAAGUUAUCUCCGGCCAAUUCUUAAACAAAUUAAUAAACGCAAGCAGAAAUAAUAUU